AGCUCCAAUAGCGUAUAUUAAAGUUGCUGCAGUUAAAAAGCUCGUAGUUGCAUUUCCGAGGCAAGGGAUUAGUCCGACCUUUGGUGGGUAUUUAAUCCUCUUGCCUCGUCCUUGAGUGGUGCUUCUUGGUAUUAAGUUAUCGAGGAGAUAGCCGCUCAUCGUUUACUGUGAGAAAAUUAGAGUGUUCAAAGCAGGCUUAUGCCGUUGAAUAUAUUAGCAUGGAAUAAUAAGAUAGGACCUCGGUACUAUUUUGUUGGUUUGAGAACCAAGGUAAUGAUGAAUAGGGACAGUUGGGGGUAUUCGUAUUCAGUUGUCAGAGGUGAAAUUCUUAGAUUUACGGAAGACGAGCUACUGCGAAAGCAUUUACCAAGGAUGUUUGCA
rnacentral:rRNA from 1 species